rnacentral:rRNA from 1 species
GUCUACAGCCAUAUCACCCUGAACACACCCCAUCUCGUCUGAUCUCGGAAGCUUAUGCAGACUCAUUUCAGGAGUAACUGGAGGGAGAUUUAUGGUGGCUUAGCAAUGUGGGAAUUUUGAUAAUGGUGGAGC